AAAUUGAAGAGUUUGAUCAUGGCUCAGAUUGAACGCUGGCGGCAGGCCUAACACAUGCAAGUCGAACGGUAACAGGAAGAAGCUUGCUUCUUUGCUGACGAGUGGCGGACGGGUGAGUAAUGUCUGGGAAACUGCCUGAUGGAGGGGGAUAACUACUGGAAACGGUAGCUAAUACCGCAUAACGUCGCAAGACCAAAGAGGGGGACCUUCGGGCCUCUUGCCAUCGGAUGUGCCCAGAUGGGAUUAGCUAGUAGGUGGGGUAACGGCUCACCUAGGCGACGAUCCCUAGCUGGUCUGAGAGGAUGACCAGCCACACUGGAACUGAGACACGGUCCAGACUCCUACGGGAGGCAGCAGUGGGGAAUAUUGCACAAUGGGCGCAAGCCUGAUGCAGCCAUGCCGCGUGUAUGAAGAAGGCCUUCGGGUUGUAAAGUACUUUCAGCGGGGAGGAAGGGAGUAAAGUUAAUACCUUUACUCAUUGACGUUACCCGCAGAAGAAGCACCGGCUAACUCCGUGCCAGCAGCCGCGGUAAU
rnacentral:rRNA from 1 species